GACAGGGACAGGAUCUUCACUAGUCACUUGUGGCAGCAACUAUUCAAAUCAUUGAAGAUCAAGCUACACAUGAGCACUAGUUAUCAUCCACAAUCUGAUGGCCAGACUGAAAGAGUGAACCAGUGUCUUGAAAAUUAUCUGAGAUGCAUGUGUUUUCAGCAACGAAGGAAAUGGCAUAGUUGGCUAGCUUUAGCUGAGUGGUGGUAUAACACCUCAUUCCACACUGCUUUGCAAAUGACACCCUUCCAGGCCCUCUAUGGCUUUCCUCCCCCAAUGGUGGCAGAAUCAGCCCUGCCAGAUUCUAUUUGUGAAGAUACUGACAACUUGCUUUAG
rnacentral:rRNA from 1 species